CAUAUUUCAAGGAUAUUAUUUACAUGCAAGUUAUUUCAUUUGUUCAAAGAUCUCCUCCAAUAUUUGUCCACACUAGGUCAUUUUCGACCAAUACUGGUGAACUUGAUGCUGUUGUUCCGUUCAUGGGGGAAUUCAUCACCGAUGGCACUCUAUCUAACUUUUUGAAGCGUAUUUUGUUCAUGGGGGAUCAGAAACCAGUGACCGUGUAGAAGUGGAUGAACCAAUUGCACAAAUAGGACCAAUAAGGUGACAAUUGAUGUGAGUAGUCCGGAAGCAGGUGUAAUUGAACAGAGCUGGAGAGAUCAGGACAAGCCGAUUGAGCAUAUUUUUCAAAUAUCCCAAGAGAAAACAAAGAGUUUCGGUAUGAGGUUCAUUCCUUAAGAUGUGAAUCUGAUGGAUACCAUUGAAAGCUUGAAGGAGAAAGACAUCUUAAGCGUAUGAAU